rnacentral:rRNA from 1 species
GUUCUGACCAUAAACGUUGCCGACCAACAAUCAGGGGUGGUUUGACUUUAUUGACCCUCCUGGCUGUCCCUGGGAAACCUACAGUAAGGUUCUGGGGGAAGUAUGGUCUCAAGGCUGAAACUUAAAGGAAUUGACGGAAGGGCACCACCAGGAGUGGAGCCUGCGGCUUAAUUUGACUCAACACGGGGAAACUCACCCGGCCCGGACACUGUAAGGAUGGACAGAUUAAAAGCUCUUUCUUGAUUCAGUGGGUGGUGGUGCAUGGCCGUUCUUAGUUGGUGGAGUGAUUUGUCUGGUUAAUUCCGAUAACGAACGAGACUCUGGCCUGCUAAAUAGUACGUUGGUAUCAGUGCCUUUGGCGCUCCCGCCGACGCUAACUUCUUAGAGGGAUUCGCAGUAUUUAAACUGCACGAAAUAGAGCAAUAACAGGUCUGUGAUGCCCUUAGAUGUCCGGGGCCGCACGCGCGCUACAAUGACAGUAUCAAUGAGUAUUAAAACCUGGUCCGAGAGGAUUGGGCAAUCUUUGCAUUACUGUCUCCUCAGGGAUUGGGACUUGUAAUUAUUUCCCAUGAACGAGGAAUUCCCAGUAGGCGCAAGUCAUCAGCUUGCGUCGAUUACGUCCCUGCCCUUUGUACACACCGCCCGUCGCUACUACCGAUUGAAUGUUUUAGUGAGGUCCUCGGAUUGAGGUCUUUGCGAUGGCAACAUUGCAUUGAUUUUGAGAAGACGAUCGAACUUGAUCAUUUAGAGGAAGUAAAAGUCGUAACAAGGUUUCCGUAGGUGAAC